CGGGCGGGGGGUCCCGGCGCCUGCGUGGCCCUGCCCGGGCAGGGCGGCUCGGCUCGGCACGGCUCGGUUCGGCCGCGGUAUCGCCGUCCCGUGCGGCGCGGCUGGGCUGCCUCCCGGUCCCCGCUCCCCGAUGCCAUGCUAAGACCAGAGGUCUCCGCGUCCUACCAGGAGCUGAGUGAAGAUGUGGAGCGAGUAUCUGAAAACCCAACAGAUGAAAGAGAAGGAGAGAUGGAAGUUCAUGAAGAUGCCAGCUCUGUUAUUUUACCAGAUAGUGAACUGGGUACCACUGCCCCUUCUUUGCGUUUCAGCAAGACCUGCCUAAAGAAUGUUUUUUCAGUAAUUCUCCUGUUUAUUUAUCUGCUGCUCAUGGCUGUAGCUGUGUUCCUUGUCUACCAAACCAUCAGUGACUUCAGGGAGAAGCUCAAGCACCCAGUGAUGUCUGUCACUUACAAGGAAGUGUCCUUGUAUGAUGCACCUGGCAUUGCCUUUUACCCAGGCAAGGCUCAGCUGCUUAGCUGCAAGCAUCAUUACUAUGAUCACAUUCCGCCUCUGAUAAAUCCAGGGCAGCCGGGCGUCAUUGGAUGCACCACUCAGAGAAUCAACUACACAGAUCCUUUUACUAAUCAAACAAUGAAGUAUGCUUUGGUUGUUCAAGGCCCUCGUGAUGUGAAGAAAAAGGAACUUGUGUUUCUGCAGUUUUAUUUAAAUGAAACAGACCAAGAUUUCAGUGCCAUUGACUACCUUCUGUUUUCUUCUUUCCAAGAGUUCAUCAACAGUCCAGAAAAAGCAGAAUUCAUGAAGGACUGUGAAAGUUCAUACUCCAGCUGGAAGUUUUCCGGAGGCUUUCGAACUUGGGUCAAGAUGUCCUUGGUGAAAACAAAAGAAGAAGAUGGGAGUGAGACUGUUGAAUUCAAACAAGAGACGAGUGUGGUUAACUAUAUUGACCAGAGAACUCAACCAAGAAGUGACCAGCUGUUCUUCGUGGUAUUCGAAUGGAAAGAUCCUUUUAUACAGACCGUUCAAGAUAUAAUCACAGCAAACCCCUGGAACAUGAUUGCUCUUCUUUGUGGUAUCUUCUUGGCUCUGUUCAAGGCAGCAGACUUUGCUAAGUUAAGUGUUAAGUGGAUGAUCAAAAUCCGAAAGAGACAUCUGAAGAGGAGAAGUCAAGUAAUGAACCACAUAAACUGAGACUGCCUUUUAACUGAGGAAAUAACUGGAAUAAACUUCGAUCAGCAAUACAGCAACUGAAGAUGCAAAACAGGUUAAAACCAAGACUUUCUUCCCCAAACUUCCCAGACCUCAAGGUAUCCAGUUACCCCUUGUCUUUCACUGCCUUCAAAAAGAGCAACUUCUGUCUGCAGCUGGGAACACCCUCCAAAUCUGCUGAGCUCCCAAAUACCAUUAAUGCUCCAAGAACUACUUCUCAAAAAUGUAUAUUCAGUCUCGGCUGAUGUAAGAACCCAACAGAAAGACAAGAUGCCUCAUGUGCAACUGGACACCCCAUCUAGACAAAUUCAGAAUAAUUUCCGAGCCUGUAAGGGCUUAAAACAGGGCAUCUGAUUUACUUCAAAGCUGUGGAAGGCUCCUGUCUACCCUGGCCUUCGCCUGGACCAUCUCUACCCUCUGAACAUUGACUGGCAGCUCCACGCAGGGUGCUGGACACUAACUUUGCUUUUUAGUAUUUCAAUGUAUUUACUGCUUCUUUCAAAGGUGAUAUAAAAAUACUAACGUUUAGCUUGUGGCACUAAAUAUAAACUGGAGUAGUCACUCAUUUCUCAUUCCCACCAUCCUUUAUAGUGGUAGGUCUUGCUCUUCCUCUGUAGGAUCCUUCCCUUUCUUACCUCACUGGGCAGCAAUAGCUACUUAGGAAGACAGACAGAAUUUUGUUCAUCUCAAGUAGCAAAGGAGAGCAAAGCAUAAUUAUAGCAGAAGCAUCCCUUGGAAAUUGUUCAUUUGCAUUUUUAAUUAAUGCCAAAGAUCAAAUGUGAUUACAGUAUGAAGACCAUCAUCCAAUUUCCUCACUUUUUCAGUAAAUCCCAGUUGUCCAUCAUAGCAAUGCGGAACAGAAAGCAUGAGAGAAGCUGAAAACAACCUCCAUUUUAUCGCCUGUAAUCUCGUUUAAGUAAAAAGGAAGUCACACUUACAGGCUUAUGAUCCAAACCUGAAACAGUGAACAAUUUAAUUACGCUUCUAUAAAUAAAGUUAAACGUUACUUACGGAUUCCAGUGUUCUUUGGAGAUCUUGUAUAAACUGCCAAACAUAAUUGGUAGAAUUUUAUCAAUGUUCUCCUCAAUCAGGCUAAGAAUAUAUUCAUUAUUCCAGAAGUACAAAGCUCUUUCUGCAACCUGAAACACAAAGUUUAGGGUCAACAACCACAAAAUAAAUUACUACAGGUUUGAGGUUUUUUUAGUGUCUUUUUUUUUUUCUUACCUGAAAAUGUGAACUUGACACAGAUUUGGAUAUUUGCUUAAAUAAAGGCUCUUCUAUUUUUUUGAA